rnacentral:rRNA from 1 species
AGAGUUUGAUCCUGGCUCAGGACGAACGCUGGCGGCGUGCUUAACACAUGCAAGUCGAACGGAGUACCCUCGAAAGAGAUUUCGGUCAAUGGAGAGGACUGCUUAGUGGCGGACGGGUGAGUAACGCGUGAGGAACCUGCCUUUCAGUGGGGGACAACAGUUGGAAACGACUGCUAAUACCGCAUAACGUAUUUGUGUCGCAUGGCAUUGAUACCAAAGAUUUAUCGCUGAGAGAUGGCCUCGCGUCUGAUUAGCUAGUUGGUAGGGUAACGGCCUACCAAGGCGACGAUCAGUAGCCGGACUGAGAGGUUGGCCGGCCACAUUGGGACUGAGAUACGGCCCAGACUCCUACGGGAGGCAGCAGUGGGGAAUAUUGGGCAAUGGGCGCAAGCCUGACCCAGCAACGCCGCGUGAAGGAAGAAGGCUUUCGGGUUGUAAACUUCUUUUGACAGGGAAGAGCAGAGGACGGUACCUGUCGAAUAAGCCACGGCUAACUACGUG